CCCUUCCAAUUUUAUCUGGUGCCGGGAAUUUAAUUUAAUAAGGUAUCAAUUUUUCUUUUUCUUUUGAUUCUAAUGUAGGGGGAUAAGCUCUAUUUUUUUAAAUUUUUUUUUUUUUAUUGUAGGUUGUUUUUUCCACCCUUUUAUUUUUUAAAAAAUGUUUUUUUUUUGUUUUUUUUUUUAAUUUUUUAAUGGGGUUUAUUAUUUUAAUUUUUUUUUUUAAACAAGGUUUAAUUAUUAAAAAUAAAACUUUUUUUUUUGAAAUUGGCAAGAAUUAUUUUUCCCUUUUUUUCAAAAACCUGUUUUUUUUUUUUUUUUGGAGGUUUGGCCCGCUCAAAGAUAAUUUUAAAAAGCCCCCGUUUUUUUACUGGGCAAAGGGAGCCUAAUAAUUUGUUUUUUAAAUGGGGUUUGGAAAGAAAGGUUUGACGGAAAAAACCCCUUUUUUUUUAAAUUUUUUUGAAUUUUUUUUUUGGGUUAAAAUUUUCAAAAUUUUUAGGGGGGCGAUAAGACCCCAUAAAUUUUUAAAAAAUAUUUUUUUUUUUUUUUUUUGUUGUUUUUAAUUAAAGUUUUUUUGUAUUUUUUGGUUGGGGUGAUAAACAAAAAUUUAAACUUUGUUUUUUUUUUACAUUUAUUUAUGGUUUUUUGGAUCCUUUAUUAUUGAUUUAAAGAUAAAGAUACCUUAGGGAUAACAGCGUUAUUUAUUUGGAGAGUUCUUAUCGAUAAGUAAAGUUUGCCACCUCUGUAGAG
rnacentral:rRNA from 1 species